CCUACGGGUGGCAGCAGUGAGGAAUAUUGGUCAAUGGCCGAGAGGCUGAACCAGCCAAGUCGCGUGAGGGAAGACGGCCCUACGGGUUGUAAACCUCUUUUGUCGGGGAGCAAAGCGAGUCACGUGUGCCUCCUUGAGAGUACCCGAAGAAAAAGCAUCGGCUAACUCCGUGCCAGCAGCCGCGGUAAUCCGGAGGAUGCGAGCGUUAUCCGGAUUUAUUGGGUUGAAGGGGUGCGCGGGCGGAGGGGCAAGUCAGCGGUCAAAUUGCGGGGCUCAACCCCGUACUGCCGUUGAAACUGCAUCCCUUGAGUGCGCGAGAGGUAGGCGGAAUGCGUGGUGUAGCGGUGAAAUGCAUAGAUAUCGCGCAGAACUCCGAUUGCGAAGGCAGCAUACCGGAGCGCAACUGACGCUCAUGCACGAAAGCGUGGGUAUCGAACAGGAUUAGAUACCCUUGUAGUC
rnacentral:rRNA from 1 species